CGUAAGGCUCUACUAAGAGCCACACAAGGAUCCUUCAAAUAAAUC
rfam:Coccomyxa subellipsoidea C-169, whole genome shotgun sequence.